rnacentral:rRNA from 1 species
GUGGGGAAUAUUGCGCAAUGGGGGAAACCCUGACGCAGCAACGCCGCGUGAGUGAAGAAGUAUUUCGGUAUGUAAAGCUCUAUCAGCAGGGAAGAAGAUGACGGUACCUGCAGAAGAAGUCCCGGCUAACUACGUGCCAGCAGCCGCGGUAAUACGUAGGGGACAAGCGUUAUCCGGAUUUACUGGGUGUAAAGGGAGCGUAGGCGGCCAGCCAAGUCAGAAGUGAAAUCCCACGGCUCAACUGUGGGCGUGCUUUUGAAACUGGAGGGCUUGAGUACUGGAGGGGCAAGCGGAAUUCCUGGUGUAGCGGUGAAAUGCAUAGAUAUCAGGAAGAACACCGGAGGCGAAGGCGGCUUGCUGGACAGAGACUGACGCUGAGGCUCGAAGGCGUGGGGAGCAAACAGG